UACGGAGGGGACUAGCGUUGUUCGGAAUUACUGGGCGUAAAGCGCACGUAGGCGGAUUUGUAAGUCAGGGGUGAAAUCCCGGGGCUCAACCUCGGAACUGCCUUUGAUACUGCAAAUCUCGAGUCCGGAAGAGGUGAGUGGAAUUCCUAGUGUAGAGGUGAAAUUCGUAGAUAUUAGGAAGAACACCAGUGGCGAAGGCGGGCUCACUGGUCCGGUACUGACGCUGAGGUGCGAAAGCGUGGGGAGCAACAGGAUA
rnacentral:rRNA from 1 species